AAUCAAGUCAUCUGGGGGAACUUAUUGAACUUUAGAACCCAAUUCAGUGGGCCCCAGAUUCUGCAUUUUUAGUAAGUACCCAGAUGAUCUUGGU
rnacentral:pre_miRNA from 1 species